UACGUAGGGACCAAGCGUUGUCCGGAAUCAUUGGGCGUAAAGAGCGUGUAGGCGGCUUGUUAAGUCUUGCGUGAAAUCGUCGGGGCUCAACCCCCGAGCGGUCGUGAGAAACUGGCAGGCUAGAGUGCGGGAGAGGGAGAGUGGAAUUCCUGGUGUAGCGGUGAAAUGCGCAGAUAUCAGGAAGAACACCCGUGGCGAAGGCGGCUCUCUGGAACGCAACUGACGCUGAGACGCGAAAAGCGUGGGGAGCAAACAGG
rnacentral:rRNA from 1 species